rnacentral:misc_RNA from 1 species
GAGAGAGAGAGUGAGCAAUGGCGGCGGAGCAGAGCUCGGAUUCCCCCGUUGGAUUCGUGAAGAGGCACUUUGAGGAGGUUCGCGACCACUGGAGGAGCAACUUCGCUUUCCUUGACUACUACAAGAAGACCCUCGGCCGCAAGGAUCCUCUCCCGAAAUGGACUGACGCCGACGUCGAGGAGUUCAUCGCCUCCGACCCCGUCUACGGCCCCCAGCUGAAGGCCCUUAGGGAAUCGAGGAAGUAUGCCAUUGCUGGGGCUGCUAUUGGUGCAGCACAUUUGGGGGGAGUCUCUUGGAAAUAUUCGAAGAGCCCACACGGUGUGGUGUUAGCUACUGGAUUUGGCGCGCUGUGUGGUGGUAUCUUUGGUAUGGAAGUUGCAGAACACACGAAGCAGUUAUACAAGAUUGAUAAACAGGGUGCUAACCUGAGGUUUCUUUACUGGUGGGAGGACAAAACUCAAGGAAAUCGUCAGUGAAGAAAACUUUACCAGGGUGCUCGACGGUUCCAUGAAUUGAUGGGACAAUAUAUGUGAAGCCUUGUCUCAAUUACUGUGUGGAUUGUGCUUCCGUUUUAAUAAAGUCAAACUCAAAGUACCUUGUUCCAAGUUUUUUCCCAGACUCAAAUUUCAGUGUUCUGCUUGUGUUUUUGAUUGUUACAAUUCAGCUGUUGUAUUAGAAAUUGCUAAGAAUUCUCUUGGCUGCCAU